GUCCACAGGAUGAAAUGAGGUGAAGGAAGGAGAGAGAGAAGUAGAGGGGGAUGAAUAGCCGAAGGGAUGGGUGAAUAACGACGCAAGAAACAGCCACCCCCAGUUUUAGUGUGGACUGACUGACGGAAUAGUUGACUGAGAGAGGCUGAAACAAACCAGGGAGACAGACACACACUCUGGGGAUUGAGAGGAUCCGUGGGAAAUAGGAGCGUUUAGGAUUUGAUGAUUUGUGCAGAAGGAGCAUCACAGUUGUAAGGAUGCUGAUUGUAGGACUCCCAAUAAGGACAUGGUGUCCUCUGCUCUUCCUGGUGUUGGCUGUACAUUUCCCAGCCCCUGCCCAGGGUCAAGUUCCAGCUCCCAGAAGAUUACGUUUUAAAGUGCUGGGUACGAGCAAAUUACAUGUAUCUUGGAAAGAGCCGAAAGGGAAUGUCGACGGCUAUAGAGUUUUAUACCACAGUGAACCGG